rnacentral:tRNA from 1 species
GGAUCCUUGGCUCAGCCGGGAGAGCGCCUGGUCGACAUCCAGGAGGUCGCCGGUUCGAGCCCGGCAGGAUCCACCA